rnacentral:rRNA from 1 species
UACGGAGGAUGCAAGCGUUAUCCGGAUUCAUUGGGUUUAAAGGGUGCGUAGGCGGCUCUUUAAGUCAGUGGUGAAAUCCUGCCGCUUAACGGUAGAAUUGCCAUUGAUACUGAAGAGCUUGAGUACAGUUGAGGUAGGCGGAAUGUGUAGUGUAGCGGUGAAAUGCUUAGAUAUUACACAGAACACCGAUUGCGAAGGCAGCUUACUAAACUGUUACUGACGCUGAUGCACGAAAGCGUGGGGAGCGAACAGGAUUAGAUACCCUGGUAGUCCACGCCGUAAACGAUGCUCACUCGCUGUUUGCGAUACACAGCAAGCGGCCAAGCGAAAGCAUUAAGUGAGCCACCUGGGGAGUACGAUCGCAAGGUUGAA